CAGGUGACCAUGCAUACUCUCACGAGCAUGGCUUAGGCAUUUCCUAAAUAUUUCAGGUUACUGGGAAGAAAAAUCCAAUUGAACAUUCACAAGGCCUCAGCUUGGGGAACUAGGUAUUCUCAGGCCUCCACAUUUGGGUAUGCCUGGCUAGAACUAAUGGAGAACUUUCAUCCGAGGAUAUGGGGGAUCAGGGAGAGUCCAGAGUUCCUCACAGGCUGUUGGGAUGACUGUGAAGUUAAUGAAGCAAGGGGGAUUAUCAGCACUGGAAUGGCUCUUGUCUGGCUCAACAAAGCUAAAUGAGGGUCUUCAAAAGAGCUGAGAUCCUGGGGGUGGUCAGCAUCCUUUUACAGAAGAGACUAUUUCCACAUGCCUCCUUUAAGUUAAGCCCUAACUAGUCACCGAGAAGCCAAUGAAAACAUAACCGUGUCCCUCUAUAAUCAUAUGUUCCACUGAAGACAAUGACUUCAAAGGAAACUUGUGGGGAUUGAAGUGCUCCAUCCCAGGAAGGGGAGAAGAAGAGGAAAUCUCCCUUGAGGUUAAGGUGUGAGAUGUGCGCCACGGAAGACCUUUCAGUGCUGAGACUUCCUGUGUCCACCUCCGGAGCCUCUCAGAGACCAGAAGAAGAUCGUCGCUGCCUUUGACCCUAGCCAGCAAAGCUGCUUCUGUGGUGGUCAGCACUUAACACAGAGACUCAUAGGUAGUCCAAGUGCUGAGUUAAGUGACUAUUGGCUGUUCAGUCCUCAAUGGGACAUAUGUAUCAAGAACCCUCAAGGCUCAGGGUACAUUUUACAAAGGAAGGCAGAAAAAAGUGAAGUAAGAGACAGAGAAAGGGAGAAGUGCUGUGAUAUGCUUCAUUCUGGAUACGACAUGGCUACCAUACUCAUGAACUCAUAGCAACUAUGAACACCUGCACAAAGUCAAGCCAACAAGAUCAGUCAAUAUUUCAACAUAAUGGUUUUUUAAAAACCAAGAAGACAUAAAGAUCAAAGGGGGCAUGCUGGCACCGAGGAGGAGGAGGAGUGAUAUGUGAUUAAUAUGCAUCUGUAUGAAAUUGUCAAUUAAUAAAUUAAAGAUUUCUUUU
rnacentral:lncRNA from 1 species